rnacentral:misc_RNA from 3 species
UCCUCUCUCCCAACCUUUGGUCGGGGCGUUGGAUCGAGUUGUGGUCUCGUCCGCAACUGGUCUCAAAGACAAUGACGGCGUCCGUGGGACCCUCUUCGCAACGAGUCUUUCGAGGCACGCGGGGAGUUGCAAGGUCUCGUCGGGUCGGUCGACACCUUUAUUUUUUCUA